CCAACUCCUCGAAACUCAGCAGACCUCCUUAGUCUUGGAAAAGAACUUAAAGGCUCAGAAAGAAAUUGAAGAUCGAGUGAAAGCCUUUGGCUUUGAGGAUGAAACUUUACUAUUGAUCUCUGAGGUUAUGGGAGAGGAUAUCGUUCCGGAAAAAGUCAAAGGUGAAGGUCAUGCUGAAGUGAAAUGUGUAGUCUCUGCAGCUCUGGAUACCUUAGUAAUUGCAUCCAUAAAAGAAUUUGAAGACAGGUGGUUCAGAAAGAUCGAAGAGCAUAUCAGGGCUUUUGAAAAUAUGGGCCGCCAAUAGAUAGACAUUUCAACCUAGUACCCAAUUUUGAAUGUUCUUGCUUCUGUUUGGCUUUUUUUAGUAUUUAUUUCUGGGAGGAGUUGUGGCUAAUAAGAGUUGUAGUGAAUUAAAUUGUUUCUUUGUGA